GGGUCCUUCUACCACCGUUCCGAUACUUCCAAACCCUGGAACAAGAAUAGCGGGUAAAAAGUGAUCUCUGCAAACUUCAUGCCUAAUUUGGCUUAAUACAAGUACCGUUUAUGAGUCCGGAUACAGCUGCCUGGGCAUUUUCCCUCUCCCCAAUCUCCGCCGCAAUCGAGCCUGACAGAUAGGGAUCUGGGCCGCAGUUGCAGGCCCCAGCCAAGAACAUGAAGACACAGUUGAUGGGAAUACCCAUGUGACUGGUGAAGUGAAAGGCUGCCAGGAAGACGGUACUACCCAGCACUGUGAGGGCCACUCCAUACACCGCACGACCACCGAAAAGCCUGAUGGAAAUAAAUGGGAAAUAAAGCAAUGCUUUAGCUGAA